rnacentral:rRNA from 1 species
UCGGCUCACGCGCGAAGCGCGGGCCUUGAGCGCUGGUGACAGAAGCAGCCGAGCGUGAGCUCGGCUCUACAGAUGCGCGCGCGCGAUCACCCCAGCGCUUCCACCACCCAAUCGAUGAACACCAGCAGCCGCGGUAAUACGAAGGGUGCAAGCGUUACUCGGAAUUACUGGGCGUAAAGCGUGCGUAGGUGGUCGUUUAAGUCCGUUGUGAAAGCCCUGGGCUCAACCUGGGAACUGCAGUGGAUACUGGGCGACUAGA